GACGAACGCUGGCGGCGUGCCUAAUACAUGCAAGUAGAACGCAGUUGCGAACGGGUGAGUAACGCGUAGGUAACUGCCCGGUAGCGGGGGAUAACUAUUGGAAACGAUAGCUAAUACCGCAUACUACCAGAUGGACCUGCGUUGUAUUAGCUAGUUGGUGGGGUAACGGCUCACCAAGGCAACGAUACAUAGACGACCUGAGAGGGGGAUAGGCGAAACAUGGAAUGAGACAAGGCACAGAUGCGUACGGGAGGCAGCAGUAGGGAAUCUUCGGGAAUGGAAGGAAGUCUGAACGAGCAACGGCGCGUGAGUGAAGAAGGUUUUCGGAACGUAAAGCUCUGUUGUAAGAGAAGCAGUAUCUUACCAGAAAGGGACGGCUAACUACGUGCCAACAGCCGCGGUAAUAC
rnacentral:rRNA from 1 species